rnacentral:lncRNA from 13 species
UUGGUACCAAGACAACCCCAUUUAUCCCAGACAAGACUACUCAGCUUUAAGAAAAGUGCAGACUCAGCUGGGAAGAGGAAUUACUGCCAAGGCAGAAGUGCAUUGGCUCCGGCUCUUAGUGUGUUCUCCUGUGACUCCUCCAAACAACUUGCCCUGAAUCCAGUCCAGGCUCUUGCUGAGGGCAGAAGGUGGCAGUGGUCACCAGGCUACAGAAGGAGAGAGAGGCGAUUAGUGUACCCCACUGCCAAGGUGUGGGAGAGAAGGUGGCUGACAAAAUAUCCUGAGGACUCAGGGAGACAUGGGGAGGUGGGCUGCACAUAAAUCAAGACUUCAAGCUUCCAGCACGUGUUCUAUUGGCCCAUUGGACUUUACUUAAAAACACAAAUACAGAGAUACAAUUACCAAGAAUUUCAAGAUGGCAACUGCAGAAUGCUAAAUAGGGAUCUCCUUUCUCAGUGUAGAGCUCUGUGAGGCUUCACUAUCAAAUACUCAUGAAGCUGACCCUGGAAAUAAGCACUAUAUAAGUGUUUGCUGAUGUGGUUUUAGUAGUAGUAGCAAUAUUUUGCAGACAGCAGACAUUGAAUAGGCAAAACAUUUAGUUGAUUCAAAGUAUCUGUGUAUUCUUAUUUUGUACAAGCUGACCUAAAAAUCAGGCCUGAUACAGAGGCCUCUUAUAUUCCAGAUGCUUUUCCAAAAGACCGUGUAUAAGAACUCUAAACCAUUGACUUAAGAAUAAUGGUGGAAGAUAUAUUGACAUUCUACAUGAUGUAAACUCUCCUAUUUAACUACUUUUUCUGUUGUUCUGGGUAUUGUUCUAACUCUCUAGUUGGAAAUCUGGCUCAUUUUACCAUCACUGAAAUUAAUUAAAAAUAAAUCAAACUUACAUUCAUUCUAUUUUUUAGCU